UAGGCCGUAACACAGACAGCUAGGCCGUAACACAGACAGCUAGGCCGUAACACAGACAGCUAGGCUGUAACAGCUAGGCUGUAACAGCUAGGCCGUAACACAGACAGCUAGGCUAUAACACAGACAGCUAGGCCGUAACACAGACAGCUAGACUGUAACACAGACAGCUAGGCUGUAACAGCUAGGCUGUAACACAGACAGCUAGGCCGUAACACAGACAGCUAGGCUGUAACAUAGACAGCUAGGCUGUAACACAGACAGCUAGGCUGUAACACAGACAGCUAGGCUGUAACACAGACAGCUAGGCCGUAACACAGACAGCUAGGCUGUAACACAGACAGCUAGGCUGUAACACAGACAGCUAGGCCGUAACACAGACAGCUAGGCCGUAACACAGACAGCUAGGCCGUAACACAGACUAUAUACACAGGGGUAUGAGGUAAUAUCGUGGCUAUACACACAGGGUACCAGUACUGAGUCAUAUACAGGGGUAUGAGGUAAUAUCGUGGCUAUAUACACAGGGUACCAGUACUGAGUUAUAUACAGGGGUAUGAGGUAAUAUCGUGGCUAUACACACAGGGUACCAGUACUGAGUCAUAUACAGGGGUACGAGGUAAUAUCGUGGCUAUACACACAGGGGUAUGAG